CUCUCUCUCUCUCUCUCUCUCUGAUCCUUGCUUGCCCUUGGAACCCAGCCACCAUGUUUCAAGGAAGAGCAACCACAAGAAUAGCCACAUGUGUGUGCUCCAGCUGACACAGCUGACAACUGUAGCUAGGACCCCAGUCAACAACCAGCAUCUGCUGCCAGACAUGUGAGUGCCUGAGGCUCCAGAUGAUUUGAGUCUCCAGGCUUCAAGUAUUCCAGCCAAGUCCUCAGACAUGUGAAGCAGAGGCAAGUCAUCCCCUUCCAGACGAUAUGAAUUCUUGACCCACAGAAACCCCGAGAGGAGCCUAGUAAGUGAAAGGGCAUCCAGCCAGGCCCUGCGAGCAUCCAAGGUAUCCUCUACUCUGAGUCAGAUUUGCAUGCAUGCCUGCUUGGGAACAAUGCAUCUGUAACCAUCAUCAUCAGGACCACAACAACAAAAAGCAUUGGAGAGUCAGUAUAGAAUACUAGUUGAGAACAAGGGAUCUAGACCCAAGCUGCUUGGGUUUCAAUCCCAGCUCUGCCAUUUACCUGCUGAAUGAGUGCUCUGGUUACCUAUCGGUGUAUAAUAAGCCAC
rnacentral:lncRNA from 1 species